rnacentral:sRNA from 1 species
AUCCAUCUAGACUAUAUACAUAGUGUUGAACAUUGCUCCACCCUGCAGUGGCAGUUACCAAUAGAAAUGAGAUAAGAAAGGGUACCCCCAAUAUCCACCAAGAUGUGAUAAUAUCCUUUUGGAGAAGGUGGGAUUCGAACCCACUACCUUCUUGUCUCAGCAGUGGUGGCCCCAACACCAAGUGCCUACUUGAGAAAGCAUUCCAUGAACAGCGCUUACCACUACGCCAUCCGCCCCCCCAGGACUUCUGAUUCGCAAUGAGGUUCUCUCUCCCAGGUUCCGAUCCAUUCGCGUAUUACUGAGUAUGUAUAUGCUCCCGCCUCAGGCACACACCGAUCGAGAAAUGGAAAGAUCACAAGGUGCAAUUCAAUUGGCAAACGAGAAACCUUUGUGGAUCCUAUUAUGCUAUCUCAGCUGUACCAGUGGGCUCUUGACCUGAAUCGGCGGAGCCAGUUGAUACGGGUGCAGCUUGCCGUCAUGGUCGAGACUACGAGUUAGACAUAGGAAUCUUAUAUGUAUGUACAUGUACAUGUACUACCAGCUUGUAUGUGGAUACCGGCA